GCAAAUAUGCAGAGGCAUGAUCUUGUCACCCAAACUGCUUCAUUAAGCUAAAGUUGUUUUGGUGACUAUACGACGAUUCACCAUGUCACAACAAUAAUAGACGUUCUUUCGGGUGGCAAAAGCCGAAGCAUUCUCCGAUGGCACCACUAGUAAAUUGCUUGGAAGGGAGACCCACAAUUCCCAGACGGAGAAGAGCUGCAAUGGACAUUCACAAGGUUAGCAACAUAACUCAUAAUACGUUAGGGGACAUAAGGGAUUUUUCUUAGAAUACUUUUGUGAGAUUAUUGUAUGUUUAAUAACUGUAGCAUUCAGACUGUUUGAGCUAUAACUCUAUAUAAUCCCUCUAAUAUAACGUCUGACGGAUCAUUUUAUUUAGAGACGUCCAUCUGCAAUACAUUUUUUAAACGGUCCUGAAAUAUCUGUAUGUUUAUAUAAGCAGUCUCUAAAUCAACUGCUCACUUAGUUUAAAACUUUGCUGAUUUGAAAGGGAAGGCAUGAAUAUAAAGUGGUUUUGUCCUGUACAUUGCAAGGGAUUUGAUGACUUUGCAUUAGAAUUUUAACACUUUCCUUUAUUAGGGAUUAGUUAUGUGAUGGUACCAUACCUUCCAACAGUCCUAGAUUCUUAAUGACAGUCCCAAUUUGGGGAUUAUGCCCCACCCCCAUCUGUGUUUAUACCUCCUACUGCUCUUAUGUUCUCUGUGAAUGGGUUUACAGGAAAUCUGGUAACAAAUUUUGGGAAAUGUAGUCCAGCAACAGCUGGAAGGGUAUGGGAGGGAUCAGAUUUGGAAUAACCACUGUUUAAUGCCUUUAAAAUCAUGUUGCCUAUUAAUCAGUUUGACUUAUACAUCGUAAAGGCACUCUGAUUUUAAUAGACUGUAUUUCCUGUGACCCUCAGCCAGCCAGAACAUAUGAUUUAGCCCUUUAUUUUUCUUUAGUCAAACGCUGAUCUCUUCAGGUCAGUGGAAGCCACUCGCAUUCUGCCACGGGGAAGUAUCUUGGCGCCUAUUGUUUACAAACAUUCUGAAAUGCCGUAUAAUGUCCCUUUAAACCUGAAACAAAUAUAUAUAUUUGCACAAACUACCAAUCCAAAAAAAAGAAAAUGGAAAACAUGCUGAGUUUUAAAGUUUUGAAUUAUGCUCAAAUCUCCAUAUAUUCCAGCAACAGUCAAGGUCUUAUUUGCCCAUGGGCAGAAAAGGCCUGAUCUGAGAAAGGCAGAUUAUAGGGGUGGACAUAUCUUCAUUGGGUGUCCACGUUUCAGGACAGUCUUGUGUUUUCAUUUCACAUUCUGUUUGCUCUCCCUAAGCGGGACCGGUCCUUCACCUGUGCCUAAACAAGGUUCAGGGCAGUAAGUGGUUAAUGUACCGAUAGCAGAUCAGUGCAGCGGGUUACUGUAAUGUAAAUGCAAUUUCAACGGAUAGCCCAAUGAUUCCCUAAUACCAUGAAUGGCCUACUGUGUGAUUGAAGUAUAACCCUAAUGGGAAUUAUUUGCAUAAAACAUCAAUGAUGAUAUAGGUAGAAGCUACAUUACAGAACAAUUCUUUUGUUCUCCUUAUAGCAUGAGAGAGUUAACAGGUGCCGCCACUUGGCUUCUGAAACCUAUGUUUAUAUUUAGAAAAAUACAUAUUUAAGCUUUUAUCAUGAGUAAGUAACUGCACCUUGUGAACGACUGCCAAGUAAAUAUUAUAAUCUUUUUCCAGAUAAUGUCGGAACUUCAUAAGCCGCACUUCUGUAUUUUGGCAAAAGACUAUAUUGUUUAUUGUAGCUCAUAAAACAAGGACUUAUUAUCUCUAGAACCAUUUCCCAUCCAGAAGGGUUAUUUAAAUAGUUAGUUUUGGAGUUACGAUCAUGGCUUACAAACGCCAAACAUAUGUAAGAUAUAUUAGAACAGGUGUGCACGUCCUAUGAAUGGGCCUUCAGAGCUCAUUCCCUUCAAUACACACUCCAACGACCAUAACCACUACAUUUUGCUAGGUUAGUUUGGGUGUAAGGUUUUUGCAAAAUUGUCUCAAUUAUUAUUAUUAUUAUUAUUAUUAUUAUUAUUUUAUUAUUUAUAUAGCGCCAUCACAUUCCAUAGCGCCAUACCAUGGGUGGACUAACAGACAUGUAAUUGUAAUUAGACAAUUGGACGUACAGGAACAGAGAGGUGUAGGGCCCUGCUCAAUGAGCUUACAUUCUAGAGGGAGUGGGGUAUAGAGACACAAAGGGUAAAAGUAGGGGUAUGAAGUAGGUUGUUAAAAAAGCAUUCAGGGCUUAGUAGGUAAUUUUGACAGUUGCAGGAGAGGAGUCAUGGGGGGUGGAGGAUAAAAACCUGCUAACAGUUUAAUUGAUAUGCUUUCCUGAAGUAGUGAAUUUUCAAUGAUUUUUUGAAUGAAUGGAGACAGGGUAAACCUCUUACGGAGAAGGGAAGAGAGUUCCACAGAAGGGGUGCAGCCCUGGAAAAGUCUUGGAGUCGGGCGUUAGAGGUGGGAGUAAGGACAGAGGAUGGAAGUAGGUCUUUGGCAGAGAGCAUAGGGGCCUCAACGGGACAUACUUGUGUAUUAGGGAGGAUAGGUAGGUUGGAGCAGCAUUAUGUAGGGACUUGUAAGCAAGCACCAGAAUUUUAAAUUGAGCUCUAUAUCUAACUGGGGGACAAUGUAGGGACUGAUAGAGCGGGGAGGUGUGGGAGGUGCGAGCGGACAGGAAAAUGAGCCUUGCUGUUGCAUGCAUUAUAGAUUGCAACGGUGCAAUCUGGGAACACGUAAGACCACUGAGAAGAGCACUGCAGUAGUCCAGGCGAGAGAGAACAAGAGCAUGGACCAGCACCUUAGCCGCAUCCGGGGUUAGAUAGUGGCGGAUGCGCACUAUGUUUUUGAGAUGGAAGCAACAGGAUUUGGCGAUUGAUUGGACAUGAGGGGUGAAGGAGAGGUUGGAGUCAAAACGAACACCCAGGCAGCGAGCCUUCGAGGUAGAGGUCAUGGUAGCGCCGUUGACUUGGAGGGAGACUCAAUAAAAGGUUAGUGAAAAAGGCCACUUUAAAAACAAAGUUCAUGGAACCCCCCUAUCCCACCAAAAAAAUUUAAAUAAAAUCUAGCCCAACCUAAAAUAAUUGCUUUAAAGUGUAACUAAGCAACAAAACCACUUGAGCUUAAUGAAAUGGUUAUGGUGCACAUACCCCAUGCCUGCAAUCUAUUUUAAUGGGCGUGAAUCCUUAAUACCAUAUGCCAAAGCUGCAGCUAUUAAAAAGCUUGGGUUUAGCAGAUUUUCUUAACUAUAAUCAUAUUUAUUUCAGUCUUCAGUAAUCUAUUUUCAUUUACAGCAUACAGUUUUUGUUUUUACCAAUAAGUCUGCUAGUUGCACUAUAUAUACUCUAAGCACCAUAACCACUGCAGUGAUUGGCUCAGAUCAUUAGGAAUCUGGUUAACCCAGCUCUUUCAUGCUAUCGCUAUUAUCGAGGGUCUUGAUCGCAAUCUCUUAUUUGCUAGUUAUUGACUAGUUAAUGGCUGUUGUUUACUCAUGACACUUUUCAAUUUAAACUUGAAAAUGCGUAAAUAGUUUCUGAGCUAUUAACUCUAACAAAAAAAGUACAGAUAAGUACUCCUACAAAAAUACAGUGUAGUAAAAUUGACAAGGCAACAAAUACGUAUAUUAUACCCAAAAUGUCCUAUUCCAAGAUACGUAAAGAAACGUGCAUGCGUAUCGACGUAGGUUUGUAACAACACUUGUCACCAGGGCCAGAUUAAGAGCCCAGUGGGCCUGGUGCUGACAAUCAUGACGGGCCUAAUUACAGAAUCAUAUCGACCAAAAACAGUAAAACACUCCCAAGCGUCAUGUAUCUGAUGGAGAUGGUGCUGGAGAGAAAGAAAACAGCAGCUAUAAGAAAACACAUACCCUAGGCUUAUCUCUCACUAAUUUAUCUUUUCAUCUUUCAAGUAAAUCCAUAACCCCUAACAGCAGUGUCCAGUCAAGCAGGAAGUCAAUGGGCACGGUAAAAGGGUGUGCCACUGACACAAAUCACGCUACCUGCCAAAAGGGGCGAACAUGCCCAAAAAGAGGAUAUGUCUGCCCAAAGAAUUAGGCCAGCCUGGUAUGAAUGCAUGUCAGGCUGCCUGCCAAACUAAGGGCAUACUAUACAGACAGCACCCUGAGCUUGGCAUAAAUGCAUCUAAUGAUGCGCUCGCUCAACGCUUUCUAAGGACUGUCCCCUAGCACUCGCUGGUCCACUUGUCUCCUUACCUUCUUACUAGCAGGCAGAAGCUCCUGGUAUAUAGUCUGGAACAGAGAAAAGCUGUAUGUAGUGAGUGUAGAAGAAAGGGAACAUGCCACAGUGUUAGAGAGACCAAAGUCAGCAUUACCUUAAAGGAUCACUAUAGGGUCAGGAACACAAAUAUGAAUUCAUUACCCUAUAGUGUUAACACCACCAUCUAGCCCCCCUGGGCCCCUCAUGCCACCAUAAAUAUAGCAAAAUCUUACUGUAUUCAAGCCUGAAGCUUUAACUCUGCAUGCUGUUAGACUCAGAAAAACAAGCAGUCUGCUGACAUCAUUAGAAGUGGUGGCCUAAUCCAAUCACAGUGCUUCCCCAUAGGAUUGGCUGAGACUGACAAAGAGGCAGAUCAGGGGCAGAGCCAGCAUGAUUCAAACACAGCCCUGGCCAAUCAGCAUCUCCUCAUAGAGAUGAAUUGAAUCAAUGAAUCUCUAUGAGGAAAGUUCAGUGUCUGCAUGCAGAGGGAGGAGACACUGAAUGUUUGGAUGCAUUUUAGGCAGCCAUGACCCAGGAAGGAUCUCUAACAGCCAUCUAAGAAGUGGCCAGUGAAGUUAUCACUAGGAUGUAAUGUAAAGACUGCAUUUUCUCCGAAAAGACAGUGUUUACAGCAAAAAGCCUGACGGUAAUGAUUCUACUUACCAGAACAAAUUCAAUAAGCUGUAGUUGUUCUGGUGACUCUAGUGUCCCUUUAACUAUAUUCAUUGUCAGCCAGUCUACACAAGUUUUGUUCCCAUACAUCCCUCUUAAGUUUCCAUACUUAAGUAAGGGUAUGUGAAAAGUAGUUAGGGUUGCCACCUUUCUUGGAAAAACAUACCAGCCUUGCUAAUUUGCAUAAUUAAAUAUGUAUGGGCGACAUCACAUGAUGUAAAUCACAAGGAGUGACAUAAGAGAAAAUGCUGUAAAAUCACCAAAAAAACUACUUAGUUUGAUUCUGCUGUAUAGAUGGAUUCCUCCCAGUGGCCCCAUGUCUCCCAGUGUCCCCUAGUGUCGUGUCCCCAGGUCUCCCAGUGAUCCUAUGUAUCACAGUGUCUCAAUGCCCCAUGUCUCCCUGUGUCCCCAUGUAUCCCAGGGUCCCCAUGUCACUAGGAAGACGGGAAGACCUGGGGACACAGGGAGACCUAGGGUCACGGAGACACCAGGGACCCAUGUAUCCCAGGGUCCCCAUGUCACUAGGAAGACGGGAAGACCUGGGGACACAGGGAGACCUAGGGUCACGGAGACACCAGUGACACUGGGAAACUAGGGGACUCUGGCUGGGACGCAUGGGGACACUGGGAAAAUAGGGGACACUUGAAGACAUGGGGACACAGACACCAGGGACACAGACACUAGAGACACUGGCUGGGGGACAUGGGGACAUUGAGACACUUGAGGCACUGGGAGACAUGGAGGCACUAGGAGACAUGGGGACAGUGAGACACUGGCAGACUGGGGCACUGGGAGACUAGGGGGCACUGAGACACCAGGGACACUGGCUGAGAGACAUGGGGACACUGGGAGACAUGGGAACACUGUGUCCCCAUGUGUCUGUGUCAUAAUGUCUCCCAAUGUCCCUUAGUGUCUCAGUGUCCCCAUGUCUCCUUGCAGCCUUUCCCCCAUCCCUUACUUCCCUGAGAUGUAGGCUGUCUCUGCAGGGUGGGAGUUGCUGUCUGGACUCUCUGUAGCUGCACCCCUGCAGAUCAGUGAGAAUAGAUAGGCAGGGAGGGAUAUGCUGGAACUUCCUAUCCCUGCCUGUCUCCACACACAGUGACCCCUACUGGUCAGUGCUGGUAUUGCAUAGUAAUCUCUUGUUUAUACUGAGAAAAAUACCAGCAUUUGUAUUGCCAGUAUCACUGUAAUAUUAGCACCAGCCAGGCAGCCUCAAAUAUUGCCUGUAAAAUAAAAGCCAGGUGGAAUCCCUAAGAGUAGUGUGUGAAAAAAAAAAUGUACAAAAAAAAAAAAUAAUCUUUUUUUUUUUUAAUAAAUCAAUGGGCCUAUUCCAUGGGCCUGGGCCUGGAGCUGCAGCUCCAUCAGCUGUUAGAUGGCUGUUAGAGAUCCUUCCUGGGUCAUGGCUACCUAAAAUGCAUCCAAACAUUCAGGGUCUCCUCCCUCUGCAUGCAGACACUGAACUUUCCUCAUAGAGAUUCAUUGAUUCAAUUCAUGAGGAGAUGCUGAUUGGCCAGGGCUGUGUUUGAAUCAUGCUGGCUCUGCCCCUGAUCUGCCUCUUUGUCAGUCUCAGCUAAUCCUAUGGGGAAGCACUGUGAUUGGAUUAGGCCACCACUUCUAAUGAUGUCAGCAGACUGCUUGUUUUUAUGAGUCUAACAGCAUGCAGAGUUACAGCUUCGGGCUUGAAUAUAGUAAGAUUUUGCUAUAUUUAUGGAGGCAUGAGGGGCCCAGGGGGCUAGAUGGUGGUGUUAACACUAUAGGGUCAUGAAUUCAUGUUUGUGUUCCUGACCCUAUAGUGAUCCUUUAAGGUAAUGCUGACUUUGGUCUCUCUAACACUGUGGCAUGUUCCCUUUCUUCUACACUCACUACAUACAGCUUUUCUCUGUCCCAGGCUAUAUACCAGGAGCUUCUGCCUGCUAGUAAGAAGGUAAGGAGACAAGUGGACCAGCGAGUGCUAGGGGACAGUCCUUAGAAAGCGUUGAGCGAGCGCAUCAUUAGAUGCAUUUAUGCCAAGCUCAGGGUACUGUCUGCAUAGUAUGCCCUUAGUUGGCCAGCUGCAUGAUUGGCAGGCAGCCUGACAUGCAUUCAUACCAGGCUGGUCUUCUAAUUCUUUGGGCAGACAUAUCCUCUUUUUGGGCAUGUUCGCCCCUUUUGGCAGGUUACGUGAUUUGUGUCAGUGGCACACCCUUUUACCAUGCCCAUUGACUUCCUGCUUGACUGGACACUGCUGUUAGGGGUUAUGGAUUUACUUGAAAGAUGAAAACAUAAAUUAGUGAGAGAUUAGCCUAGGGUAUGUGUUUUCUUAUAGCUGCGGUUUUCUUUCUCUCCAGCACCAUCUCCAUCAGAUACAUGAUGCUUGGGAGUGUUUUACUGUUUUUGGUCGAUAUGAUUCUGUAAUUAGGCCCGUCAUAAUUGUCAGCACCAGGCCCACUGGGCUCUUAAUCUGGCCCUGUCACCACCCCGGUUAGAUGGAAUUCAUACUGGCAAUGCAUAAGUUCUGUGGUGGGCUGAAUUAGGAGGGAUGGUGUGGUGCGCAACUGGCUGAGAAUGAUACUCAUUAUAUUUCACACUGUCCACUACAAUUAAUGGAAACCCCACUGUACCCCUAAAACUCUAAGGAUGAGGUCUUACACUAUAUCCCCAUGUUUUCAAUGAUGAAGGCUUGCACUUUAUCAAUGGAUGAAGGGUUAUAGAUAGCGCUGUGUUAUUAAGAAUUCAGCUACAUUAUAAAGCUGUUUUUAUUACGUUCUACACUAUUUUAUAGUCGAUAUCUUUGGGGAGAAUACGAAAAUAGAGAACACUUUACACAGAGUGUAGUCUAUUAUAUUCAGCAAACAUCUGUCACAACCAAAAUCCAAACCAUUCUCUAAUCUGGGUGAUUACAUUACAACUAAUCUCACAAAAUUGUAAACAAUUUAAGAAGGAUGAACUGCCCUUUUCUGAAACAAAAUUAUGUUUGUAUGUAAUAUUAGAGAUUAACGGUCAUCCUAAAAUUGGUUUGGGAUUUUUUUUCAUCUUUUUUUUUUAAAGUGCAAAAAAAAAAAAUUAUAGACAUGAAACAAGAAGAUUGUUUAUUGAAUCAGUAUAACAUCGGUUCAACACAGAGAAUAAAAUGUCAGCAAAACUGUUCUAAUAUUUCAUGUAUCAGAUCUUUGAGGAAGUCUCAAAAUGUCAGAAGUAAAAAAAAAAUGUUUUUUUUUUUUUUUAAGUAAAACUUGUUUUCUCAACCUAACAAACUUAUAUUCUCGACACAAGUUGUUCUCUCGACAUUAACUUAUUUUCUCAGCAUAAGAUAUUUUCUUGAAAAAAAAACAAGUUGUUUUCUCAAUAUAACAUUGUUUUGUGAAAAUAACAGGUUGUUUUAGGAAGAAUAUUUUUUACACUCAAAUUCUUACAUGUACCUGACUAAAUUUCAAUUAGCACACACAUUAAAAGGGAAAGCAAAAUCUGCUAGAUAAUAUUCCUAACAUUGUGCAGGCACAUGUGAACAUUUGAGUGUAAAAAAAAUAUUCUUCACAAAACAACUUAUGUCGAGAAAACAACUUGUUCUGUUCUGAAAACAUUUUUUUAUGUCGAGAAAACUUUUUUUUUUUUUUUUAGAAAAAACAAGUUUGUCAUGUCGAGAAAACAACUUGUUAAGUUGAGGAAACAAGUUGUUUUCUUACUAUAACAAGUCACAAAAAUAUUAAAAAACACAUUACCUCACUGGGUUUCUGUACUAUAUGCAAUAUGGUUUAAAAGUUGUAGAUAACAUUUUUGAGAUGCCCUGCACUUGCACAUGUCAUUUGUAAAUGAGCCCUAGCUUUUGAUUACGUAAGCACAGUGCAUUUACAGAUGCUGCCCCAUGGACCAAGGAUAAUCCAUGACUGCUGACCAAAUACCGUUACCCCAAAUAAUGACAUGAUGCCUGAGUAUUGGAUAAGGGCAACGGCCAGAGCUUUAUUUGAUUUAACUUUAAACACCGCCAGAAUUAUCACCACCUGUCGGCUGUUGGGGUGACUACCCAGAAGACAGAAAACCGUAUAUUUCCAGAGUUUGUACACCCUGCCUUCUGCAAUCAGCCCUAACAGGCAGCGACUCCCUAAAGCCUUGUCUUGUGAAUUACUUGCGCUGGCCAAGAACUUUGCCUUAGAGAUGUCGCGAACCGUCUGCCACGGUUCGCCGCGAACUCCGGUCAGCUGACACGUCCCGGCCAAUCUCCAGCAGACCCUCCCUCCCAGACCCUCCUACUUCCUGGACAGCAUCCAUGUUUCAACAUCCAAGGCUUUAGGGAGUCGCUGCCUGCUAGGGCUGGUUGCAGAAGGCAGGGUGUACGAACUCUGGAAAUAUACGGUUUUAUCUGUCUUCUGGGUAGUCACCCCAACAGCCGACAGGUGGUGAUAAUUCUGGCGGUGUUUCAACAUGGAUGCUGUCCAGGAAGUAGGAGGGUCUGGGAGGGAGGGUCUGCUGGAGCUUGGCCGGGACGUGUCAGCUGACCGAAGUUCGCCACGAACAGCUCGUGGCGAACCGUUCGCGGACGGUUCGCGACAUCUCUACUCUGCCUCAGCUGUGACAAAAAGAGAACACAAACCAACAACACAGAAAAAACACCAACCUGCAUAACAGGGUAGGGAGGGAGGGAAAAACCUGUUCUAGCCUUUCCUUCUGCGAAUGGUGAGUACCAUCCCCUCUACACCCCUUCUUAUACCAUCCCAUCUCUGCAACAUUGUAUCCCUCUCUAUCAUGCCUCCCCUUCCUUAUAGUCCAGGGGAAACCUUGACUGCUGCCAAAAUUACAUUCCCGUUACCCCCCAAUAAUGACAUGACGCCUUAGUAUUGGAUAAGGGCAACGAUUAAAGCGCAAUUGUCCCCCUCCAGCUCCACAUGUCGUACCGAUACACCACCAAGUCAACGCACAAAUCUAGAAAUAGUGACAUUGAAUUUGCGUCUGUUCCGUUCCAAACCCCUGGCAUGCGACAAGGCUUGCCAGCAUGGACGGUGAACAAUCUCGUACCAUAUCAAAGUUCACUCAGAAAACAAUGUCAAGCACUGCACCAAGCCAUGCUUUACAGAGUGCACUAAAUCCACGGUCCUAACCCUACCUAAAUCAUUACCACAUGGAUCAAAAUGGUGACAGCCCCUGACACGAACCUGCUAAGGACAACGCACUCCAGGUAAACUUGCUUUAAUGACAAUCCCCGAAUACGCUAACUCGGCUGGAAUCCCUAUGUUCCGUCCAUAGGAGGGCCACUCUGCGAAUCGAGCUGCCCAAUAGAUAAACAAAUGUGCAAAUAUCCAUAUAUAGCGGGGAGCACACCCUGAAACAAAUUACAACAAAUGAUUCGGGACGUACAGCUGAUAUCUCCUGGAUGACUAUCUGCCUAGAUGCUGCACCUCCGAAACCCGCAAAACCCAAGGCGCUAGCUUGCAUUGCAGGGGAGAAACCGGUAGGAUCUCUACCACAAGACACCAACGCUUUCCUGAGCACAGAAGUGAACUCAAACUGCGUAAGUGGGGAACCAUCUGCGUGUACCAAUAGCGAGACUGCCGACGGCUGAACCGCCAUAAAACUAUGAAACAACCGUACAGGGAAAAAUUCACCCCAGUAUUACCCACCCAGAGCCAAAUACACCUACCGUUCUGAUCAGUCUUUGACCUACGCAUUUCUAAGUCCACAAAACUAUCAGACCAACGUACAUCCGAUAACAAUAACGGAGCAACCAAACGGCGAUUAGGGACUACUAACUCCCCCACUCGCAAAGCUCAGAAAAAAUGAACGCAACCUGGAAUAAAAGCAGACAAAGCUCUUUCUGCCACUGCGCAAGAGUGACCCUGCUCGAGUAACCUAUUUAAAUACUUCAACGUAACCUCAAACCGGGCCGUCUAAGACGACAGCAGCACCGACCCAUCCACGAAAGACAACCAAACUGACCAUACCUACCUGUAUGCCUUCCAUGUAAAGGCAGACAACGAGUCCGACACCAAGGACAUCAAGCCUCCAAAACUAGGUCCCAUAAGUAGGAAGGGCAGAGAAGACCCUCGCAGAGCCGAUUCCCGAAAACGAUCCCACUGAAACCGAGAAAGAGAGUUAGCCACUACGUUCAACUCCCCUGGGACAUGCCGUGCCUUCAUCCACACAUUAAACCUUAAGCUUAGCAGCACCAGAUGUCACAAGAGAGCCAGAACUGGAGGAGAUGCAGACGACGAUCGGUUAAUCACAUGGACAACACUCAUAUUGUCCGUGUGAAAGACCACCACCUGAUCCUGAAGAUCCUCUCCACAUAAUGCCAGAGCCACCAAUAUGGGAAAAAGUACCAAAAAUUUUAGGUUAUGCAUAAUGUCUAACUCGCGCCAUUCCAAAGGCCUAGCUGCUGCACACCACUUACCCCGAAAAAAGGCCCCAAACCCUACAGACCCUGAGGCAUCCAUGAAGAGGUCCAACUCUGAAUUGAUACUGCUUCCAGCAACGAGCAUCACCGCCCAUUGUACUUACCCAGGAAGGCACUCAUGUCAGCCCGCAGCUUGGCCAUUGUGACGGCUCCCGGCAUCUCUUCCAGCGUGGCUGCACUCAAACUAAGCAGCCACGCCGUCAGAGAUGUUUCAUACUUAUCUUGGACUCGGUGGGCAGCUACCCGGUCUCCCUCCAUUCCGUUCUUUGGAACGCCUGCCGCUGCGGAUCAGGCUUUUAUAAGAAACUUGAUUGAAAAAGAUGGCGCCGACACGCUUUGGGGUCAGAGGUCAGAGACAGCCAAUUACAGCACAAAGAGGGUUAUUUAGGCCCAAAUUACCUUUUUGCCAUUGCCCUGUCGUGGUUUCCACUAGCUGGUUAUCCGUGAGUUAUUUGAGAGUGUGUUCCUGAUUGCGUAUUUGACUUUGGCUUCAUUUUGACUUCCCUGAUUUCUGGUAUCCUUGACUUCUGCUUUCCUCAUCGUUGUGUCUCAUUCUGUGUCCCUGACCUCGGCAAGUAUUUUGAUUAUUCUGCGGUACUUUAAGUCUGGCCAUUCUAAGGUCCGGUUAGACGUUAUCCUUAGUCCUAGGUGUGAUACUAUUCUGCAUGCUGGAUCAACUAUAAUCCUGACAUUACGAUAUUUCCAUAGAUCCUGCAGAUUUGUGUCAGCACAUAGCAGCUUGCAAGAGAAAGCUAGAGGAAAAUGAUCACCGUAUGGAUCAAUUUGCCCAGGCUUUCAAUGAGCUCCUAAUACGUACGACUCAUUUACAGCCUGAAGUUCCUCAGGCAGUUACACCUCCGCCUACUGUACCUACACCUAUAGUAUAUAAGGCACCUCCUAUCUCCACCCUCACAUUUUGAAGAUAAGACUCAAGAAUGUCGGGGAUUCCUUAAUCAGAUUUUGAAGCCUCACCUGGGUCCUUCCCCAUGGAGAGCUAAAAUUGGGUACUUAAUGAACCAACUGAAAGGUAAAGCCUUAGCUUGGGCCAACCCAUUAUGGGAGAGUGAUAGGACUAUUGCCCAUAAUUACCAAGAAUUCCUUGCGGAAUUCAAAUUAACAUUUGAACCAUGAGGAAGGGAAAAUAACGCUUACACUGCUUGAAUGUGUAUUAAACAAGGGAACCAGUCUGUCUCAGAUUAUGUCAUAGAAUUCCACACCCUGGCUUCUGAGGUAGACUAGACUAAUAACGGAUUAAUCACUACAUUUGCAGAAGGUUUAUCCGAAGCUAUCUUUGACGAAAUUUCAGCCAAAGAACUACCAGGGAGGUUAAAUGAAUACAUCACGUAACAGGGAGAGGACUAGAAAUAGAACCAGGUGGAUGAAUAUGUCACUGGCACCUCGCUUCUCCAAUCCCAUUCUCCCUGGCCUUUCUGUACAGUCUGAACCUAUGCAGUUAAUGGUUAUGAGACUGUCAGAGGCAGAGAAACAGUUUAGGAGAAAACAGGGCCUCUGUUUAUACUGUGACAAGACACAUAAGAAAUGCUUGUCCCAUAACUCCGGAAAACUUACGCACCUAAGAACCAUCAGGGGACCGGCCUUAGAUGUGAUGUAUAUGUCCCCUGGUACUACCCAAUGUAGAUUUCUCCUUAGUAUUACUGUUCAAAUUGAUAAGAUAAGUUUUACGUGUAACGCCCUGAUUGACUCAGGCGCUGGAGAAAACUUUAUUUAUCGGCAAUUUGCCAGUAAACAACUCCUACCCAUCAAGGAGAGAUCAUCACCUCUGGCUGUCGAGACCAUUGAUGGAAGACCACUCUCGCAGCCUUUAAUUACCCACGAAACACUACCUAUCACUACCACGAUAGGAGUGUUACACAAAGAACUCAUCACAUUUCAGAUAAUCGCUUCCCCUUCUUGUCCCAUUAUACUUGGAUUCCCAUUGCUUGUUAAGCAUAACCCCCAUGUUGAUUUGACUAAAGGGGAGAUACUGGAAUGGGGUAAAGAAUGUAAAGAGAGCUGUAUGUCACCUAUUACUAAGAGAGUGGGUAUCGUUAAUCUACCUAGUCCUAUACCUCAGUCGACCGAAAUGCCUGUGCAUUAUAGGGAGGUUAAAGAAGUAUUUAAUAAAAGUCACACUGAUUGACUACCCCCUCAUAGAUCCUAUCAUUGCUCCAUAGAUCUGUUACCCGGCACUAUACCCCUUAAAGUAGGAGUAUAUACCUUGUCAGCACAGGAAAGUAGAGUUAUGGAAGAAUACAUUAAAGAGUCUCUACUAAAAGGCCACAUAUGUUAAUCUUCUUCUCCUGCAGGAUUCAUUUUUGUUAUUAAGAAAGGAGGAGAGUUACAGCCAUGUAUUGAUUAUAGGGCAUUGAACAAGAUCACCAUUAAAACAGCUUUUCCCAUUCCCUUUAUCUUGGAAUUAUUUGACAGACUCCAGGGCGCUUAGGUGUUUACCAAACUGUUACGAUUGCCCCCGGUCUAGCAGGAGGGUUGAUCGCUUGGAUGUCCUGGUUCCCGCUGCAGAGAGUCGAACGGAGGUCUUUCGGUAGUAAACUGCAAAUGUAGAAUAUCCCCAAGCACGAUAUAAGCAUCAAUAUCCCGGAUCCCUACAACAUGAGUCGAGGCUGCAAGUUGAGGGUCAAAACGAACUGGCUUUACUGGCACAUAGCAUGGCAAUUUAUGUGAUUCCUCAGGUCCAAGGACAGCCCCCUGUGGACCUGAUGGAAUACAGGUACAGUACAGACACAUAUCCAAUCACAAUACAGUGUAUCAUUUGAAUUAGUACCCGCCCAGCUUAAAGAUAAUGAGGCCAACGGUUAUACAAUCUAAUUAUCUCCAAGCGCACCAAAGACCACGUUUUAUUAUGUCCCAGAAAACUGCAUAAAAAUCCAUAACUUUUACAUUAAUAAAGACAAACCCCGCAUUCUACCAUUCAUCUGAAGGCUCACGUUCGUGUAAAUAAAACAUGCGAAUGGCGCUCUAAUCCCACGAACAGAAUGUACUGUUUCUGCCGUAUGAAGUCCGUUCGGCAUUUUGGGAUUAUUAGUCUUUGUUGGCGGCCAUGUUUUCUGCGGUUUUAGCGAGCAGCGGGACUUCGUGUCUAAUUCGUGGAACUAAACUCGGUAUCAGUUCAUGCGAAGUCCCGCUGUCUGGCUGGUAGUGGGCUCGUUCGGUAAGGGAAUGAGGACCACCUGGGAGCAGGGUACUUGACCUGCGGUUAACCGCAAAAACCACAAGUUAACCAGCGCCGCACGACCCGCUGUAGGGGGUCGUCGUUCGGUUGAUAGUUCGGUAUUUUCCCUUCGGUACUUUGGGUGCGAACGUCGAUGCCUCCAGGCCUACCAAUUACGUUGUGGUUAACCGCAAACCGCAGGCACCUGGGUGGUUUAAUGGCUGCCACACUCCGGGGCCGGGUGGUCGACCGUUCGGUAGUUUGUCGGGUGACGGGGUUAAGUGGCGGCACACGCCAGUUUGUGGGGGGUCCCCCGUUCGUACCACGAAUGGAGCCUUCAUAAGGGUUCGCAUAAUCCAUUCGUGUGGUUUUCUGCUUAACUUAUGCAGUGGCAAACUGUAUCACUCGGAGAGUUAAAACAGCAACAUAGUGAUUCCCAGUCUUUUGUAACACAAACUCGAUCUUAUGAGUGCUUAUAAUUUGGUAAGAAUUAAGGAGGGACAUGAAUGGAGAACUGCAUUUAACACGAGAAAUUUGUAUCUUGUCAUGCCCUGCAGCUUAUGCAAUGCUGCAGCCGUAUUUCAAGAUCUUAUUAAUGAUGUUCUUGGAGACUACAUUUAUACUUUUGUAUUGGCAUAUCUGGAUGAUAUACUUAUUUAUUCCCCCAAUAUCCAGACUCAUCAUGGGCAUGUUAAACAAGUGUUGCAAACUUUGCUAAAAAAACGGACUAUGUUGCAAACUUGACAAAUGUCUAUUUGACCAGACGGAAGUUCAGUUAUUGGGCUAUAAUAUUUCGGCCUCUGGUUUUCAGAUGGACCCACGUAAACUGGAAGCUGUUUUACACUGGCCAUUACCCAAUGGGUUAAAAGCCAUUCAAAGAUUCAUUGGGUUUGCAAAUUAUUAUAUUAUUAUAUUAUUAUUUUUCUUUGGUUUUUGCUAUAUAUUGGGGCUGAUGUGUACUGUAGUCAUUGCAGCCGCCCAGGAGUGAUGGGAGUGAGCGCAGGACUUUUCUUUUUGUAUUUGUAUUCACUUUUUGUAUCACACAACUAGGUUACAAUGCUGCCACCCAUCCCAUGUGUUCCCUAUUAAGGGUUAACAAGUAUAUAGGGAUGUAUAUAAAAAAUACCCCUUUUUGUCUCAUUAGAGAUAUUUUUGCCAGAAGCUCAAGGAAGCAAGGUAAAGGGUCAGAGUAGGACCCAUCUAGGGGGGUCUGCCUUGACGUUGGUAGGCGGGCAUUCCCUCCAGUGGCCAUUGGAGUAACUAAAUGACCUCCAUUUGUUUAAAUAUACAUAGGGAUUAAGGAGAGAGCGCAGGUAACUUUUUUCUUUGGUUUUUACUAUAUGUAUUAGCUGAUGUGUACUGUGGUCAUUGCAGCCGCCCAGGAGUGAUGGGAGUGAGCGCAGGACUUUUCUUUUUGUAUUUGAAUUAUUAUAUGAGAUUCAUCAAAGGUUUCUCUACUGUAACAGCACCCACCAUCAAUAUGACGCGAAAGGGGGUUGACUGUAAUAUAUGGUCUAAAGAAGCUAAAGAAGCUUUUGAGCUACUUAAGAUAUUAUUAGCUUUUGCUGACAUAUUUGUAUACCCUGACACUAGCAAACCCUUCAUACUAGAGGUAGAUGCUCUUGAGACAGGGGUCGGGGCUGUCCUUUCUCAGAGGGAGAGUCAGGAUACCCCUUUGCAUCCUUGUGGGUUCUUUUCUAGAAGGUUGUCGACAGUGGAAUGCAACUAUGAUAUUGGUAACAGGAAAUUGUUAGCCAUUAUCCUAGCUCUGAAAGAAUGGCGACAUCUUUUAGAAGGUUCCAAGGACCCUCUCCUGAUCAUAACUGAUCACAAAAUCUUGGCAUACAUUGGAAAUGCUAAAAGGCUGUCUUCUAGACAAGCUAGAUUGUCACGAUGUAACGUUAUCAUUACGCACAGGCCUGGUCCUAAGAACGUUAAGGCGGACGAUCUAUCUAGGCAAUUUGACCUAGAGGCGGAACAAGAACAAGAAACCUCUCCCAUCAUACCACCUGAAUGUAUCAUUGCCUCUACGGUUCUUUCCUUGUCUUCUCCUCUUCUUUGUGCUAUAAUGGCAGCUCAGACCCAGGCACCUAGUGAUAAACCUCAAGAUAGAUUAUUUAUUCCGUUACUGGAAAGAGAGGAGGUACUAAGAGUGUUUCACGAUUAUGUGACAGCUGGUCAUCCACUGUCUCUAGGUCAUUUUGGUGGCCUUCUCUUAGAAACAUCAGAGAGUAUGUGGAGGCAUGUACUAUUUGUGUGGUUUCUAAGGUUCCCCAUAAACUACCUUGUGGGCUAUUACAACCGCUUCCUAUACCCAGUAUUCCAUGGUCUCAUUUGUCUAUGGACUUUAUUGUGGAACUACCGAUUUCUAAAUUUCUAAAACCCUUUUCGCAAGAGCUGGCUUAUAUAUUUAUACGCAAAAUAGUCAGAUUACAUGGUAUUCCGCUAAAUAUUGUGUCAGACAGGGUUUCCCAAUUUGUGUCACGAUUUUGAGAGCAUUUUCUAAACAGUUGGGUAUUGAAUUAUUGUUUUCUUCUUCUUCUUACCAUCCUCAAACCAAUGGUGUGGCUGAGCGAAACAACCAAUCAUUGGAACGAUAUUUGAGAUGUUUUAUUUAUGGCGCUCAGGAGAACUGGUCUGAUUUGUUACCGUGGGCCAAAUUCACCAGAAAUGAUGCUACCCAUGACUGAUCUUGACAUAGUCCAUUUUUUGUUAACUACGGCCGUCAUCCUACUAUCCUCCCUGCAGUAUUUUCUGACACUGCUAUUCCCGCACUGGAUGACCAUCUCACAUGUAUUCGUGAGACUUGGACUAAGGUCCACACAGCUUUAGAAACAGCUACAGCUCAUUUCAAACUGCAUGCUGAUAGAAGGCUAGGUGCCAACUCUGUUUACCAGGUGGGUGACAGGGUAUGGCUCUCCACACAGAAUAUUAAACUCAAAGUCCCUAGCAUGAAGUUUGCACCCAGGUUUAUUGGUGCCUUUUGAAUUAUUUGUAAGAUUAAUUCUGUGUCUUAUUCUCUGGCUCUCCCCACCUCUCUGCGUAUUCCUAAUAUGUUCCAUGUAUCCCUACUUAGGCAUCUUAUAUGUAACAGGUAUACCACCUUCUGUCCCUCCCUCUCGUUUGGUUGUUUCUGGACAGGAGGAGUACAAAGUCUCCUCUAUUAUUGACUCCAGGUUUUCUCAAGGGUCUUUACAGUAUUUCGUUGACUGGAAGGGUUAUGGGCCUGCCGAUCAUUCUUGGGUUUCUGCUUCAGGUGUACAUGCGGGCCGCAAAAUCCGUUCCUUCCAUGCCAGGUUUCCCCUUAAGCCUGGUCCUGCCCACCCGGUGGGUGGUCUUCAAGUGGGGAUUACGGUCACGGCUCCCAGCAUCUCUGCCGGCGUGGCUGCACUCAUACAAAACAGCCACGUCGUCAGAGAUGUUUCAAACUUACCUUGGGCUCGGCGGGCAGCUACCUGGUCUCCCUCCGUUCUCUCCGAAGCAGAUUCUUCUGGCAGCCGCCCACUAUGCCGGCUGCCGUGUCUCAGGGAUGCUGGACUCUUUGCAUGCACCGCACCCCGACUCCAUCCUGCUUCCACCUCUCCUUGCAGCUGGGCACCAGCCCUCCUGCACUGGAAUGGCCUCCGGUCACUAUCUUCAGCCCUUUCCCGGCUCUCCCAGGGCUCAGAUCGCUGAAAUGCGUCCACUUCCGCGGUCCAAGAUGGUGGGGCUUGUGACGCCAGCACUCGGCAACGUUCAACCGUUUCGUACGCGCCACGUGUCACGUCCGUCGACUCCAAGCCCGAGCCGGAAAAGAAGGGGGACUCCAAGAGCACUCUUCCCACGCUCCGCCAUCUUGGGCCCAACUCCCAGCCCACAUCACAGCACAAGGCCGCCUUCUGGAAGCCAGGGAUCCUCUGCUCACCACUCCGCUGCCGAGUGCCGACUGCCUCCUGCUCGUCCCGACCUCUGCUUUGCUGCUCUGUCGAACUGGACUCCUUGAAAGGCGAGUAGGAGGCCUGGACUGUCUCGGCCUCCUACCACUGGCCAGAUAGGGACUCUCCGUUACCUGCUGCUCCGCUCCCAUCAGCUCCUGGGGAAGACAGGCCAUCAGCUCCGACAGGGAACCCGCUCCAUUGGAAGCCAGGUGAGUCUGUAGCAUCCCAAUCAGCGCAUUUUUGGACACAGCAGCUAUCUUGAAGAAGGGGGCCAAAUUCUCAGGUAAGUACACAGGCCCUAAGCUAACUCUAAAUUAUCGUUGGGUUUUUUUAACAGCAGAAGGGAUAAAGGGAAAAUCCUGUUGCAGCCUUUCCUUCUGCGAAUGGUGAGUACCCUCCCCUCUACACCCCUUCUUAUUCAUCCCAUCUCUGCAACAUAGUAUCCCACUCUAUCUCACUCCUUACUGUAGGGCAGCAGUCAUGCUUCCCCUUCCUUACAGUCCAGGUGAUCCCUGGAGAUGCACUGACAUUCACAGAGGUUAUAAUACUCCUACUCUGCCACUAUAAAUUUUUUUUUAAAUGCAUAAUUAAAAUAGCUAUCCCCUGCUGCCCACAGUGGUAUCUCUAGGGUCCAAUAGGGACAUUUAGCUCCACAGUGCAUUUCCAUCUCCUUGAAGUCCAAUUCGUCCCAGACAGCAAUGACACAAACCUCCACUGAUGAAAACCUAUUGCUAAUUCCGAGAGGUCUAGAUGAGAGCUGGGAUCUCUGUAACAGAACCACCCCUGGCAUGCCACAUUUCAGAAUACAGCGGCCAUAAUGGCCACCUUGUUUAUGUACAUUCAUGUUUAUAUAAACACACAAAAAGGGGAUUGGCAGUGGCUUAAACUCUGCAAUACACACCCCACACAAAAAUACAUUCUCUAUUUAUAAAUAAUAUCACACACCACUGGCAUACAUACAGUCGCAGGGGUCACUCCAGGGGGCCUGGCCACCCUGUGGACCUCUUCGACCGGGUACCCGCCCGCAUCUUUUGCGGCCCCGGCCCACGCGGUAAACCGCCGGUGCCGCUGUCCAAGGGGUCUACCCAAAGGAGAUGGAUUGUCAGGCGGCCCGGUCAGUGCUGAGCGCUUUAACAGUGAGACCAUGUCCCCUGUGAUAUCAGACAUAGCUGGGAGGAAGUGACUGGACAUCACUCCACCCAGCUAUCAGACAGCUGCGCGUGAGGAAGGAGGAGGGAGUCAGAGUGGGAACUCUGACUCUUUUCAGGCUGAGCCCACACUGGACCCCAGGGAAGUCACCCUCCUGCAAAAGGUAGGAUACAUUUUGUAUGUGUCUGUGUGUGUGUGUGUGUGUGUGUGUCUGUAUGUGUUUGUGUCUGUAUAUGUGUAUGUGUCACACCGCACACACACAUACAGACACAGACAUAAACACAGACAGACAUGCAUACAGAGACGCAGACACACACAUACAGACUGUAUGUGUGUGUGUCUCUGUAUGUGUGUGUAUGUGUCUGUGUAUAUAUAUGUCGGGGGUGCGUGUGUGUAUGUAUGUGUCUGUCGGGGGUGCGUGUGAGUAUGUAUGUGUCUGUCGGGGGGUGUAUGUGUGUGUGUCUGUAUGUAUCUGUCUGUGUGUAUGUAUGUGUGUGUCUGUAUGUAUGUGUGUGCAUCUAUGUAUGUCUGUGUCUAUAUGUAUGUGUCGGGGGGGCCCAUAGAUCAGUUUCGCACCGGGGCCCCGUGUAUUGUGUGUACGUCACUGUCACACACAUUACCAGGGGUGAUCCAAUGGUCAGUGGCAUUUAGAUUUUUUUUGGUGCCUCACGGGGCUGUGGUGAAAUUAAUCUCUCCCCAUUGCAGACCCCUUUGGCUCGAGUAUCCUAAGAAUGUAUAACCUCCGGUCGCCUACCAUAUCUCUGUGCCUUAUGCGUAAACAUGUGUGCGAGACACCAUAUGUAUAAUACGUAAUAUGUGACUGUAAUCUGUCACUGUGAACCUCUGGGUAAUGUGUGCAUGUGACAGUAUUGGUUGUAUUUGACCGGGUGGGUCAAUAGUGGGUGUGAGUGGGGCUAGUAGUGAUGAGCAUGAAUUAAAGCAUUAUUUGCCAAAUCAAGAAUUGCUGUCAACUAAGAAUUUUUUAGAGGGGAGGAAUUGAGUAUUCUGUGCCUUGCAGGUGCGAAUAUGUAAAUCUGGCCCUGAAAAUAAUUAGAUUAAUUUAAUCCUCAAUUUCUGUGUUGAGCAAGAUCCAUCUGAAAUAAUGAGAUAUGCAUUUUUUCUUGUUAAAACUUACUUCUUGCAGACAGCCAGGCUGGUGGGGAUGUUUUCCAACGUACGUAAACAAUGGUGCAAUCAAUGAGAGGAGUGAUAAAUGUAUACUAAUAAUAACAAUGCAUAUUACACACAAUAUUCUUGGGACUUUAAACAUCUUAUUGUACUCAGUCGAAUAAAACGUUAAACUGUCCAUCAAUAUAGUGUGUAAUAGGCAUUCUUAUUUACUGGAUUGGUGCCAUCUGGUGGAUGUAACUGGUAUUAUAUAAAACAUUCCUUUUCUUUGAAAGAACACUCCAGUGUUAUAAAUAAAUGCAUUUAAUUUUAAUAAAUGCCUCCGGGAGAUCAUCAGUACAGACAAUCUCCUUGCCAGUUUGAUGGUUCUCAUAGACAAGCUUAAGGAUGCAGGGCGCAUGCGCAACCAUUACAGUAUCACCCUAAAGUACUUAGAAUGUUUGCUUUACGCCCAUUUGCAAUGCAAUCUGAAAGAGCACCGUCCUGGCUGUUUUGACACCUGAGGGGGUGCUAUUUUGUUAGUUCAUAAACGUGACGAUCUCUUGAAAUCAGCACUUUUAGCAAGAGAAGUUGAAUAUAUGCUUUCCUAUGGGGCGUUUAAAGACGCUGGAUGUCCACUGAGUUAAACUUCAUGAAACAGCAAGAAGUACCUCUAGUGGCUGUCUGGUACACAGCCAGGGCCGGACUGCCCACCGGGAUACCGGAAAUUUCCCGGUGGGCCGUUGGCGGCCCCGCUCUCAUUAAGCUGCGCUCUGGGGCGGGGGAGAAGAGACAGAACAGCCUCUUCUCCCCCUGCGGCUCCCUCUGCGGCCGCCACAAGAGCCAGCUCCCCCAUGUGGCCGCCAUCAGAGCUCCACAUGCGGUCGCCAGCACACAGGUAGCAAUUAUGUGUGUCAGUAUUAGUGUAUGUGUGUGUGUCUGUCAUGGUGUGUGUGUGUGUCUGUCUGUGUCAUUGUGUGUGUCAUUGUGUGUGUCUGUCUGUGUCAUUGUGUGUGUGUGUCAUUGUGUGUGCGUGUCUCUGUCUGUCAUGGUGUGUGUGUGUCUGUCAUGUAAUGUGUGUCUGUGUCACGGUCUCUCUGUGUCGUGGUGUGUGUCUGUCUGUGUGUCGUGGUGUGUGUGUGUCUCUGUCUGUCAUGGUGUGUGUGUCUGUCUGUGUCAUGCAAUGUGUGUGUGUGUGUGACUGUCAUGUAAUGUGUGUCCGUGUCACGGUCUCUCUGUGCCGUGGGGUGUGUGUGUCUGUGUGUCUGUCUGUGUCAUGUAAUGUGUGUGUGUCACAGUGUGUGUCUGUCUGUGUCACGGUCUGUCUGUGUUAUGGUGUGUGUGUCAAUGUGUGUGUGUGUGUGUGUCUUUUGUUAAGGUGUGUGUCAUGGUAUGUGUGUGUCUCUGUCAUGGUGUGUGUGUGUGUGUGUCUGUGUCAUGGUGUGUCUGUGUCACGGUGUGUGUGUGUCUGUCAUGGUAUAUGUGUGUGUAUGUGUGUUUUUACUCACCUUUUUUUUUCCCCACGUCGUGCUGGUCUCCCCUCGACUGGCCCUGCCUCUAUGGCUGAGAUCAUCAAGCUUGAUGAUCUCAGCCAAUCCGCACUGACACAGGAAGCACCUCUAGUGACCGUCUGAGUGUCUGUCACUAGGAAGCAAUGUAAACACUGCCUUUUCUCUAAAAAGUCAGUGUUUACAUUGAAAAGCCUGCAGGGACAGGCUAUAGACACCAGAGCCACUACAUUAAGCUGUGUGUGUGUGCGCACCUGCUAGUGAGUGGGCUUGCUUGUGUGUGUGUGUGUGUGUGUGCCUGCUACUAAGUGAGCUUGUGUUUUUAUGUCAAUUACCUUAUGUAUAUCAGUGAGAUUGUUUGUCUAUGAGGCUGUGUAUCAAUCAGCUUGUGGCAGUGAGAUUGUCUGUGUCUGCAUGUGAGUAUGCUCACUGUAUAAUUAAAAAUUUUACUCUGAAACGACCAAUAUUUUAUAUUGGAAAAAGCAAUAUAUCAAUCAUCUAGGGUGGCAAGACAUAGCCUUACAUAUUACAUGCGACAAUAUAUGGCGCAAUGACUUAUGGGGCUGGCAUAGAUUUUUUUUUUCCAGGGCUGCUUUGGAAUCCCCAGUCCGGCCCUGUACACAGCCACUAGAGGCAGUCUUAACUCUGCAAUAUAAACACUGAGUUCCUCUGUGUUAAGGAGACAGGGACAUUACACCCAGACCAUGUCUAUGAGAUAAGUGGCCUGGGUGCCUAUACUGUACCUUUAAAAUGGAUCUGUCACUUUUCAGUAUUUCAUAAAGAUAUACUCCUUAUGAAAUACUAAUCCAGACUUUAAGGGUCAAUUACUAAAGGGAGGAUUCAAAGCAAAUUUCAAAUUUAAGGCCAUAGUAAUUGAACUGAAAUUACAGCUGACUCAGAAUUUUUACAGUUUGACUGUUUCGACCUUAAAUUUGAAACGUACUUUGAAUUCUCCCUUUAGCGAAUAACCAUCUGAGUUGGACUUUCGCUGAAAUGCGGGCUUAUGAAUAAGCUUGAAGUUGACAAAAGGUGAAGCUGCGUUGUCAAAUUUUGUAAAUUGCAGCAACCAUCACUAGUGAGGCCUGCGGGGUUCAGGCAUUGUCUAUGGAGGUUCACAUGGUCUCGCGGGAUCCUCCAUAGACCUCAGUGUUGUAUUCUUGUGCAUGCGCAAAAGUAGAGCAUUGACGCAGCUCCUGGCAAAUGAAGGGCCAGGAGCUAAAGGGGACUAGCAGGAGGAAGAUGGCGGUCUCGAGGGACAGCUUGACGUAAGCAGACCCUACUUUCCCCUGCACCCAAAGUCUAACAGACCCACACUGGAUCUGACACUUUUGGUGGUCUUUGCGAAACAUGCAAAGAUGUCCGAAAGUGAAUUUCAAAUUUAAGAUCAAAAGAGUUGAACUGUAAAAAAGUCAACUAUGCUUUCAGUUUUGUUACUUUGGCCAAGUCAAUUUGAAUUGUUUUUUUAUUUGUGAAUAGCCCUGUCAAUUUUCUUUAAUCAUCUUUAACAAUAGGCUUACAAUCAGCGCUGGGUUCAGGUAAGUAAAUAAAGGUUUUUUUUAACCCUUUAUUUACCAGGUAGGAGGGGGCACGUGGGAUGGGGUAGAAAGAGAGAUUGUAUUCAGCGUUGUAUUCCUGACACUACAGUAUCCUUUUAAGUUUUAUCCUUUCCUUUUCUAGAGCUGAAAGAAGCCAAAUUAAUUCUAGACUUCUUGAGAAUUCGACUUUAUUCAAACUUACAGAAUAAAAAAAUAAAAAAAGCUAAUUGCUGCCACUGUGCCGAAUAUAUGGAUUCUGCUCAUGGACCCCGUUUUGUGUUGACUGCUCUGCUCCAUUAGCUAAACAGAAAUAAAAGCUUCACAAAACAUUCUCUUACCGCUAAGGGUAAUUUACCGCUGCUACACAGUGAGCUUUAUCGGAGGUUUGAAAUGGCUUCCUGCGUCUACCUAUAUAAAAAAAAAAACAGAAUGCAGAUUCAAUGAAGUCUCGAUUUUCAUUUAUGCCGUAUUUAACUCAUCUUUAUAUUUUAUUUAAAAAAAAAAAAACAUUUAACACAAACUCAACAAGACCGUUGUGUAACUCUUGCAGUGUGUUCCUAAGUGACUCAAGGGUCAAAUCCAAGCAGAUUCUUUCAGACGCCUCUUGACAGCAAACAAAUAAAGAUCUUAUAUCAGGGGGGAGCAGCAUUCAAAGUAUAUGAAAUCUUAUAUACAAAUGGUUCGUGUUAGCAAUGGUUAUCCUUAUCUUAAAGGAGCAACAUGGUGCUCUGUGCUGUAGGAGGUGCUGUACAGUGCAGCGGAACUUGUUGGCGCUUUACAAAUAAUACUAUUAAAAAUAAGUGGGAGAAUAAUGAGAAGGUAAGAGGUAUGACAUUACAAUAGUAAGAGCAGGAAAGAUAUAGAAUCCACUCUUUACAGAGCCAAGAUUUCUUGAACUUAGUCGAACAAGUAACCAUGACUGCUUAUGACAUUAAAUUCUGAGGUUACAUUGCCAAAGCUAUCUCUUAGGAAACUUAUGUCUAGGCCAACCCCCAGAGCAAAUAGAGAGAAGGGAGCAUCACUACUGCCCUGAGGGUUUGGCACAGCAACCAAAUGGAUACAGUUAGAAGCAGGGAAUUUUGGAAAGAUUACCAGACUACUAGUCAACAAUGCUGAGGGAGCCUGGCAGUGUCUUUAACCCCCCCCACCCAAUGGUUCUGUUCUGGAAUUGUUAUCUUUGUCUCAUUUGUUUUUAAUUUUGUCACAGCUGCAGGUUUCCUGCACGAGCAAGUUUGGUAACUGAAAAAUGCCUGGACAGGAUGGGGGAGUCGCAGUCUGAAUUUGGAUGAUGACGAAGGACAGGCUGAAGAGGCACUGGAAGAAGUUUAAAGUGUACCUGUCUCCUGGGUAAAACAAGCAGCUGACAGUAUUUCGUUAUGCUGGUUUAAAUAAAGCUGUGGCCGUUGCCC